GUGGGGAAUCUUCCGCAAUGGACGAAAGUCUGACGGAGCGACGCCGCGUGAGUGAAGAAGGCCUUCGGGUCGUAAAGCUCUGUCAUCAGGGACGAACGGCCGGUGGAGUGGAAAGCCACCGGAUUGACGGUACCUGAGAAGGAAGCCACGGCUAACUACGUGCCAGCAGCCGCGGUAAUACGUAGGUGGCAAGCGUUGUCCGGAAUUAUUGGGCGUAAAGCGCGCGCAGGUGGGAUCUUAAGUCCAUUUUUAAAGUUCGGAGCUCAACUCCGUGAUGGGAUGGAAACUGGGAUUCUUGAGUACCGGAGAGGAAAGCGGAAUUCCCCGUGUAGCGGUGAAAUGCGUAGAUAUGGGGAGGAACACCAGUGGCGAAGGCGGCUUUCUGGACGGUGUCUGACACUGAGGCGCGAAAGCUAGGGGAGCGAACGGGAUUAGAAACCCCUGUAGUCC
rnacentral:rRNA from 1 species